CUGACUAUCAAAAGCAAAUGCCUGGUAAGGGAGGACAUUGAUUCAGUGCAGAAGAAACACGCUUCUUAGGCGCAUCUGCUGAACAUUUUUAAUAGGCAUACUUCAUAAUAUUAGUGCCGCCUUCUUGGAAACACGUCUGUACUGUAAAUUUCUGCUUCUUCUGACGUCCCUCCCAGCCAUACGGAUUCAGUUGGCAAGAAACUAAGGCAUUUCCACACAAUGAACCAUAUGGGAGUCAAUGAAAAAGGUGUCGAUGUGCGGUGCAGCUUGGCCCCGUGGAUGCUGAUUGAUAAAGCUGGCAGAUGGGUAGAUCAUCGGCUUUGAAGACUGGAUUUUUAGUGAGAUUUCCUCUGAAACCAUUGAAUAAAUAAGACAGGCAGAAGAGCUAAGCGGCGGGGAGGAUGUGCAGAGCGGCUCCUUCCAGCAUUGCCAGAGGUU